GCUCCUUUGGUGUAGUCCGGUCAAGCAUUUCGGCCUUUCGCGCCGAGGACCCGGGUUCAAAUCCCGGAGGGAGCA
rnacentral:tRNA from 1 species